rnacentral:rRNA from 1 species
CAGUCGCCACGGUAAUACGUAGGGUGCAAGCGUUAAUCGGAAUUACUGGGCGUAAAGCGUGCGCAGGCGGUUAUAUAAGACAGAUGUGAAAUCCCCGGGCUCAACCUGGGAACUGCAUUUGUGACUGUAUAGCUAGAGUACGGUAGAGGGGGAUGGAAUUCCGCGUGUAGCAGUGAAAUGCGUAGAUAUGCGGAGGAACACCGAUGGCGAAGGCAAUCCCCUGGGCCUGUACUGACGCUCAUGCACGAAAGCGUGGGGAGCAAACAGGAUUAGAUACCCGUGUAGUCCCUGUCUCUUAUAC